GAUGUGCGGGAACCCUAGUAGCCGUCGCCCGCCGCCACCCGCUGUGCCCAUCCCCAUGGCCGCUUCCCCUCCUCCGACGAAAGUGGUCGCCGGCGCUGAAGACGGGAACUCCUCCUCCGCCAUCCCCAAGAUCCAGCCGACGGAGGCCAAAGUCGGCGAAGAGAAGGCCGCCGCCAUGGAAGCAACGUCAUGGUUUGGCCGGUUUGGGCAGCUCUACUUGGCCCUCUCGUCAUCCGCGCCUCGCCGGUCAAGACAGAAACCGAGAGGGGGAAGGCCACCGGUGCCAGCGACGGGAACUCCUCCGCCGCCAGUCCCAAGACCCACCCGCCGCACGCCGGAAGUGCCUGUGUGAAGACAUCCUGGCCAGGCCGCUUUGGCCAGUACUACUACCCCGUCCUCCUUGCACUGCUCAUCCGCAUCUUACCGGUGAACAAAGUAAAAAGGACCGGAGGGAGUACUGGCUUGAGACCUUCUGGAAGCUCAGCCCCAUCCGCCGUGCAUUUAUCAUACGCGCCUUCAUGGCCAUGGGUUUCAUGCUGAUCCUGGCCUUGGCCGUUCCUGCCCUGUUACUGGUGCACUUCCACGGGCAGGAGAUGGCCCAGGUGUGGGUCAUGUCGCUCACUCUGUGUUCAUACGCCUUCCAUGCCUCCCUCUUCAUCUGGAGGGAUUGGUGGUUCUACACAGACUUCGCGCGUCUCUCUUACGGCCCCCUGCCGGCCUACUUCGCCGCCACUGCCAUCGGCCCUCGCACCGCCAUCUUCAUCCUGCAUUGGAGCACGGUUUGGGCCACCUGGGCUGCUGCAUCGCUUUGCACCGCCUGCACAAGGGGACCGAGCGGGGCAUUCACGACUUGCCUAGGCGGUCGUGCCAUAGCAAGUACACACCCAAAGAACUCACCUUCUUGGUCUGUAUCAGAGUGCUCACUCUCUCGGUGGGUUGGACUAUGUUCAUGGCGUUGCCGAUCUACGGAUUUGAGCUGACUGAAGAGUUGUCUAUUGUCGUACUCCUCUCCUCCAUUGGCUGGAUGUAUGUCACCCUCUGGUUAUACCAUGUCGCUAACUAUCUCAUGCACGGAGUUCUCCUUAAGGGGCCAAUGAAUUCACUUCCAUAUCUGAUCCCAUGUGCCGUGUUCACUCCUACGCUCUUGCUUCUGCCUGUUAUGUUAUCGGUAUUGUUACAUUGGCUGUUGCUGAUGGCCGUGGUUGGCUUCCUUGGGUACCAUCUUGCUGUUUACAUACGCUACUUGCACACUGCCGCACCAUGUGAAACAAAAGCACUUGAGGGAGACUGAAGAUAUAUGUGCAGCUGCGCAGCUACUUUAUGAGACGGAGAAGGUGCUUCUUAUUUUAUGAAAUGUGUCUUUGACCAAGUCUGUUUGUGCGGCAGACCAACAGUAUGGAGAGGCUGGAGAUUAUUUGUUGUAUGUUCAUCAAAAGAUGACCCCUUAAAACUCUAUGCAAGACAAUGUGUACAGUCAACUUUUUAUGUGUUUGCAUUGGGAUAUUAUGUACUUCUACUCUUGGGGUGUUGGAUAUUAGGGCAUGUACAAUGGUUGAUAAGAUAGUCUUAUCUUAAGUCUUGCAUGUAAUUUAGAAAUGACAAAAAAUUGUGUGUACAAUGGGUCAUC